UUCCUCACCUUGGGGCGUUACAUUACUUCAACCUCUACAAGAGGCCACCCCACUACCAUCCGUUCCUCCACCGAUUCCACAUUCUCCUUUGCAUCGUCUGUCCAACUCAUCAUCGGCUGCAUCCCCCUUUUCUCGGUCUGCCUCAACACCUUCUCCUAUGACCAAACCCACUCCAAGCCCUUUUAGCAUUAUCGACUCUGCACC
rnacentral:lncRNA from 1 species